rnacentral:rRNA from 1 species
UGGGGAAUUUUGGACAAUGGGCGCAAGCCUGAUCCAGCCAUGCCGCGUGCGGGAAGAAGGCCUUCGGGUUGUAAACCGCUUUUGUCAGGGAAGAAAUCUUCUGAGUUAAUACCUCGGGAGGAUGACGGUACCUGAAGAAUAAGCACCGGCUAACUACGUGCCAGCAGCCGCGGUAAUACGUAGGGUGCAAGCGUUAAUCGGAAUUACUGGGCGUAAAGCGUGCGCAGGCGGUUUUGUAAGACAGAGGUGAAAUCCCCGGGCUCAACCUGGGAACUGCCUUUGUGACUGCAAGGCUUGAGUGCGGCAGAGGGGGGAUGGAAUUCCGCGUGUAGCAGUGAAAUGCGUAGAUAUGCGGAGGAACACCGAUGGCGAAGGCAAUCCCCUGGGCCUGCACUGACGCUCAUGCACGAAAGCGUGGGGAGCAAACAGGAUUAGAUACCCUGGUAGUCCACGCCCUAAACGAUGUCAACUGGUUGUUGGGAAGGUUCCUUCUCAGUAACGUAGCUAACGCGUGAAGUUG